UUGGAGUUCUGCUGCCUGCUGCUUACACCUUUUCGACACUAGGUGCCGCCAGUAGGAGUGUACCUGAGGCGACAGGUGUUGUGCAUCUACUCAUCAGCUGGGAAGCAUAUAGAGGAAGGUUGCCAACACCUCGGCGCCCGAGUGUUUUUGCCUCUGUGGUAAUUUCUGGCCAGCUCUGAAAUCUUUGCAUGAUUUUUACCAUGGAUAUCUUUUGAAGGAUCUGUUGUUGCGAACUCUAAUUUGCUUUGUUACCUGUUCCAGGUGUGAAUCCUACCUGAUCUGUUCCAGUCCUCUGUAGUGGCUAAGGCUACUUCCUGAUCUAGUCUGUGCAUGGCAAGCUGAACUCCUUUCCUGACAUUUAUUCUCUCCCUGGCGGGUUAUUCCGGAAUCUCCAUAAGGAAGAUUAGACUCAUCGCUCCUGUUGUUCCUGAUCAUCUUUCAGUAAAAACUUAUUCCUUUUACAAAGUUUUCUGAGAGUCUCUGCAUGUGGGUUAAGUCGGCUGUAAAAAUCAUGACAGAUUCUUUCACUUUUAGACAUCUCUGUUGUCCACCUUAAACUAGUUUUUCUCCCUUAUCUCAGCACUGAUUCUUAAGCUGUAAUUAUGUACAGUAAACAGACACACAAUGCAAAAAAUAA